UCUUCACAUAAACAUAUUCUGAAUAGCUUGUGUUUUUCUCUAAGCUACAUUGCUUAUGCUGUGAUAAAAGGUUCAAAACAAAUGAAAAUAUAAUUGAAAGAUGCAUUCUUCUUUUUCAAAACAUUUGUUUUUAUUGGACUCUGUUCUGUUGUUUUUUUUUCAGGGUGCUUCCUUAAACACAGAAGCAGGUAGAACAGAUUGAGUGGCUAAAACUGAAAGCAAAACUGCAGUUUAACAUCGUCAAAGAAAGAGCAUGAACAAUCGGCAAUAACCAGCAGGAUAUUUUUCAUGGCUUAAUAGAUUUCUAAACCAAAGAAGAGUGACACUGCUUCUAAAAUGAGUCUCAGUGAGAAGACAGAGGAGGGAUGUUCCCAGUGCUGGAGAUCUUCAGAUCCCAGCUGUGUGUCUGUGAAGAGUGACAGAUCCAUGGAUCGGCCUGAUUAUCUCAAUGAUGAAGCAGUGACUUUUGAUCCCAUGCCUGUUAUCUACACUGAGGGCAACACUGCCUCUGAAAUGAGUCUCAGUGAGAAGAAAGCCCUGUCAACAAUUUGAUCUCAUCAUGAGCUCCCAGGAGACUCGUGAUGUGGUCACAAUGAGCUAAAAGUGGAACCUCACGGCACCCUCAAUAUGUGCUCAUACUAAUGUGAGGUCAAAGUGCACUCACUGCAGAGAGACUAGUUACCCAGCAUGUAUUGCAGCAUGAAGCUUUUGAUUGUCAUUGUUGAGAUUCAGACACUGAUUCUUGAUGUCUCUUUGUGUCUAAACCUCACAGCAGUUCAAAAUGUUUGUGUUUUAUCAUGCUUUUAAAAUCCUUCAUAAAGGAUUAUGACACUGCUGGAUCAUAUACUGUAUAAUCACAGAGCGAUUAUAAUUAAAAACUUAAGAUUAAUAACGCCUCACAAAGACUACAUACUGAAUCUAGGUUAUGAUUGUGUUGUCAUUAUCAGUAAUAAACCAAUGUCAUCUGAUUGCAGUAUCUUUUUGGUUUUACUUGACAAGUAACUAAUGUGCUUUACAAAAACACAGUUACAGCAGCCAAAAAAAGAUAAUGUUAUAAAGUCAAGGGUCAAGAGCCCAACUAAAACAAACACUAAUCACCAUGAUGGUAAUGUCAAACGAAACAAAACCAUCAUCUUAAUCUCUGUUAAUUCUCAAUAAGCAAUUUUGUAAUUGUCUGACAGAAAUAAGGUCAUUCUGGUUAAUAAUGAGUGAAGCUGGUGAUGCUGUUUGUGGAGUUGUUUAAUCAUUCUCUGCUGAGAUCAUGAAAGAUUUAAUGUCUUUUGUAUUUCAGUGGAUUUCAUUGAAGGCUGUGGCUGGAAGUCAGUUUUAUAACAAAAAUCUGUAAGCAGUGCGUGCACUCAUACUGUGAGCUCACCAUGUGAGAGCACUGUGAUAUCACUGUGAUAGUGUUGAGAAAAAGGUAGAAAAAGUAGAAUGUCCCUCCAGUGACCGAUAACUAAACUGCCUCCUCUCAAC
rnacentral:lncRNA from 1 species